rnacentral:lncRNA from 1 species
AUGGGGCUGGAGCAGCUGAGCUGCCUCAGGAGGUUCUGGACAGCCCAAAUCCCGCUGGAUCCUCCUUCUCCAGCGCCAGCCCCGCGGGUGGUGCCUCCCAGCCCAUCCUGGCCGGGCCUCUGCAGCAUUCCCUGGCGCCUUCAGGGAAUCUGGGAAUCUCCUCAGGGACCUGCUCCUGCUGGACCCUUCGGCAUCGUCCUGGCGUCCCUCACAUCGCCUCCAGCGCCUUCCUCGGUCCCUGUGCCGGGAUUUUGGCAUCUUGACAUCUCUCGGUGGCUUCCCGGUGCAUUCCUCGGCAUCUUCAUCCACAUCCUGGGCAAGUUCCCUGGGAUCCCUCGGCACAUCCCCUGGGAUCUCUCGGAUCAUUUUGGGAUCCCUCAGCACAGUCUGGGAUCCGUUGGCACAUUCCCGGGUCCCUUGGCACAUUCCUGGGUCCCUCUGCCCAUUCUGGGAUCCCUCUGCUCAUUCCCUGGGAUCCCUCGGUUCAUUCCUGGAUCCCUUGGCACAUUCCCAGAUCCUUCUGCACAUUCCUGGAUCCCUCUGCCCAUUCUGGGAUCCCUCAGCCCAUUCUGGGAUCCCUCUGCUCAUUCCCUGGGAUCCCCUGGUCAUUCCCAGAUCCCUCAGCAGAUUCCCGGAUCCCUCUGCUCAUUCGCCGGGAUCCCUCUGCACAUUUUGGGAUCCCUCUGCACAUUCCCUGAUCCCUCUGCUCCUUCCCUGGGAUCCCUCGGCUCAUUCCUUAGAAUCUCCCAGUUCAUUCCUGGAUCCCUCGGCUCAUUCCCUGGGAUCCUUCGGCCGGAUCCAACCUCGGGCCGCGGUUUUAUAUUUUUUUUGGGAAUGGGAGGGGCGGAUCCCGGAUGGCGGAGGCCCCGACCCUGGUUUUUGGGAGGGAAAGAGUUAAAAUUCCAGGGGAGGGAAGGCGCUUCCAUGAAUGAAGACAAAGUUUGGCGGGGGGCCAGGAGCGGGGGGGAGGGGGAGCGGGGAGGGAGCGCCGAAAUCCCAGGAAAAAUUAACCCCCCCCCAAAAUCCAGAGCCACUUCCACACCGGGAGGUGCCAAACCGCUCGCGACUGGAAUUUUUUUUUUUUUUUUAAUUUUUUUUUUAUUAUUUUAG